ensembl:lncRNA
GCCGCUGCCGUCCAGGAGGACGUUCCCGAGCAGGCCGCUGCCGUCCAGGAGGACGUGUCCAAGGUUCCCGAGGCGGUGCCCGAUGCCGAGGCCGUUCCCGAGGCGGUGCCCGAUGCCGAGCCCGAGGCGGUUCCCGAUGCAAUGCCCGAGGCCGAGAAGGUGGCCGAGACAGAAGCGGUUCCCGAUGCUAUGCCCGAUGCCGAGGCGGUCCCCGAUGCCAGGGCGGUGCCCGAGGCGGUGCCCGAUGCCGAGGCGGUGCCCGAUGCCGAGGCGGUGCCCGAUGUAAUGCCCGAGACCGAGGCUGUUCCGGAGGUGCCCGAGGCGGUUCCCGAU